GAGGUAGUGGCAAGAAAUAACAAUACAGGGCUUAUAGUCUUGUAAUUGGAAUGAUGGGAAUCUAAACCCUUCCCAGAGUAUCAAUUGGAGGGCAAGUCUGGUGCCAGCAGCCGCGGUAAUUCCAGCUCCAAUAGCGUAUAUUAAAGUUGUUGCAGUUAAGAAGCUCGUAGUUGAAUUUCUGCCUUAUCAUUAAUUUCGCUUCCGAACGUUAUUUUAUUGAUUUGGCAUCUUUACUGGUUUUAUAUGUUUUUCAUAUUUUUCCAGUUUUUUUACUUUGAGAAAACUAGAGUGUUUCAAACAGGCUUUCGCCUUGAAUACUACAGCAUGGAAUAAUGAAGUAGGACUAUUGGUUCUAUUUUGUUGGUUAUUGAACCAUAGUAAUGGUUAAUAGGAGCAGUUGGGGGCAUUCGUAUUUAACUGUCAGAGGUGAAAUUCUUAGAUUUGUUAAAGACGAACUACUGCGAAAGCAUUUGCCAAGGAUGUUUUCAUUAAUCAAGAAC
rnacentral:rRNA from 1 species